GACGAACGCUGGCGGCGUGCCUAAUACAUGCAAGUCGAACGCAGUGGGGACGGGUGAGUAACACGUGGGUAACCUCCCAUCAGAGGGGAUAACACUUGGAAACAGGUGCUAAACCGAUAGUGCAGGAUGGAGCAGGGGUGCAUUAGCUAGUUGGUGAGGUAACGGCUCACCAAGGCCAAGAUGCAUAGCCGGCCUGAGAGGGUGACCGGCCACACUGGAACUGAGACACGGCCCAGACUCCUACGGGAGGCAGCAGUAGGGAAUCUUCGGCAAUGGACGAAAUCCUGACCGAGCAACGCCGCGUGAUUGAAGAAGGUUUUCGGAUCGUAAAACUCUGUUGUUAGAGAGGCGGUAUCUAACCAGAAAGCCACGGCUAACUACGUGCCAGCAGCCGCGGUAAUAC
rnacentral:rRNA from 1 species